rnacentral:rRNA from 1 species
CAGUAGCCACGGUAAUACGUAGGGUGCGAGCGUUAAUCGGAAUUACUGGGCGUAAAGCGUGCGCAGGCGGUUCGUUAAGACAGAUGUGAAAUCCCCGGGCUUAACCUGGGAACUGCAUUUGUGACUGGCGAGCUAGAGUAUGGCAGAGGGGGGUAGAAUUCCACGUGUAGCAGUGAAAUGCGUAGAGAUGUGGAGGAAUACCGAUAGCGAAGGCAGCCCCCUGGGCCAAUACUGACGCUCAUGCACGAAAGCGUGGGGAGCAAACAGGAUUAGAUACCCCCGUAGUCCCUGUCUCUUAUAC